AUGCAGUCGAGCGGCAGCGGAAAGUAGCUUGCUACUUUGCCGGCGAGCGGCGGACGGGUGAGUAAUGUCUGGGAAACUGCCUGAUGGAGGGGGAUAACUACUGGAAACGGUAGCUAAUACCGCAUAACGUCGCAAGACCAAAGAGGGGGACCUUCGGGCCUCUUGCCAUCAGAUGUGCCCAGAUGGGAUUAGCUAGUAGGUGGGGUAACGGCUCACCUAGGCGACGAUCCCUAGCUGGUCUGAGAGGAUGACCAGCCACACUGGAACUGAGACACGGUCCAGACUCCUACGGGAGGCAGCAGUGGGGAAUAUUGCACAAUGGGCGCAAGCCUGAUGCAGCCAUGCCGCGUGUAUGAAGAAGGCCUUCGGGUUGUAAAGUACUUUCAGCGGGGAGGAAGGUGCUGAGGUUAAUAACCUCAGCAAUUGACGUUACCCGCAGAAGAAGCACCGGCUAACUCCGUGCCAGCAGCCGCGGUAAUACGGAGGGUGCAAGCGUUAAUCGGAAUUACUGGGCGUAAAGCGCACGCAGGCGGUCUGUCAAGUCGGAUGUGAAAUCCCCGGGCUCAACCUGGGAACUGCAUUCGAAACUGGCAGGCUAGAGUCUUGUAGAGGGGGGUAGAAUUCCAGGUGUAGCGGUGAAAUGCGUAGAGAUCUGGAGGAAUACCGGUGGCGAAGGCGGCCCCCUGGACAAAGACUGACGCUCAGGUGCGAAAGCGUGGGGGAGCAAACAGGAUUAGAUACCCUGGUAGUCCACGCCGUAAACGAUGUCGACUUGGAGGUUGUGCCCUUGAGGCGUGGCUUCCGGAGCUAACGCGUUAAGUCGACCGCCUGGGGAGUACGGCCGCAAGGUUAAAACUCAAAUGAAUUGACGGGGGCCCGCACAAGCGGUGGAGCAUG
rnacentral:rRNA from 2 species